GCGAUUGUAGUUCAGCGGUAGAACGUCGUCUUCCCAAGCCGAAUGUCGCCGGUUCGAAUCCGGUCAGUCGCUCCA
rnacentral:tRNA from 1 species